rnacentral:rRNA from 1 species
AACGAACGCUGGCGGCAUGCCUAACACAUGCAAGUCGAACGAGACCUUCGGGUCUAGUGGCGCACGGUUGCGUAACGCGUGGUAACCUGCCCUUAGGUUCGGAAUAACUCCCCGAAAGGGGUGCUAAUACCGGAUAAUGUCUUCGGACCAAAGAUUUAUCGCCUUUGGAUGGGCCCGCGUUGGAUUAGCUAGUUGGUAGGGUAAAAGCCUACCAAGGCGACGAUCCAUAGCUGGUCUGAGAGGAUGAUCAGCCACACUGGGACUGAGACACGGCCCAGACUCCUACGGGAGGCAGCAGUGGGGAAUAGUGGACAAUGGGCGAAAGCCUGAUCCAGCAAUGCCGCGUGAGUGAUGAAGGCCUUAGGGUUGUAAAGCUCUUUUACCCGGGAUGAUAAUGACAGUACCGGGAGAAUAAGCUCCGGCUAACUCCGUG